GGAAAGUAGGGGAUCGAAAGACCUGGCGUUAUUCGAGCGGCCGACGUCUGAUUAGCUAGUUGGUGAGGUAAAGGCUCACCAAGGCGACGAUCAGUAGCGGGUCUGAGGGGAUGAUCAGCCACACUGGGACUGAGACACGGCCCAGACUCCUACGGGAGGCAGCAGUGGGGAAUUUUGGACAAUGGGCGCAAGCCUGAUCCAGCCAUUCCGCGUGCAGGAUGAAGGCCCUCAGGUUGUAAACUGCUUUUGUACAGAACGAAAAGCUCUGGGUUAAUACCCUAGGGUCAUGACGGUACUGUAAGAAUAAGCACCGGCUAACUACGUGCCAGCAGCCGCGGUAAUACGUAGGGUGCGAGCGUUAAUCGGAAUUACUGGGCGUAAAGCGUGCGCAGGCGGUUUUGUAAGUCAGAUGUGAAAU
rnacentral:rRNA from 1 species